rnacentral:rRNA from 1 species
CUAGGCGCACAGCUCAGUAACACGUGGCCAACCUGCCCUUGGGACGGAAACACCCCCGGGAAACUGGGGCUAAUUUCCGAUAGGUGAAGACUCCUGGAAUGGAUUUUCGCUUAAAGGGCGCUUAGGGCAUGCUCCUAGGCGUUGCCCAAGGAUGGGGCCGCGGCCGAUCAGGUUGUUGGUGAGGUAACGGCCCACCAAGCCUUUAACCGGUACGGGCCGUGGGAGCGGUAGCCCGGAGAUGGGCACUGAGACAAGGGCCCAGGCCCUACGGGGCGCAGCAGUCGCGAAGACUUCGCAAUAAGCGAAAGCUUGACGGGGCCAUCCCGAGUGCCAUCUGCUGAGGAUGGCUUUUACCCAGUAUAGAUAGCUGGGAGAAUAAGGAGAGGGCAAGUCUGGUGUCAGCCGCCGCGGUAAUACCAGCUCUCCGAGUUGUAGGGAUGUUUAUUGGGCCUGAAGCAUCCGUAGCCGGCUGGACAAGUCCCCUGUUAAAUCCAGCGACCAAUCGUUGGUCUGCGGGGGAUACUGUCCGGCUAGGGGGCGGGAGAGGCCGUCGGUAUUCUUGGGGUAGGGGUGGAAUCCUAUAAUCCCAGGAGGACCACCAGUGGCGAAGGCUGUCGGCUAGAACGCGCCCGACGGUGAGGGAUGAAAGCUGGGGGAGCGAACCGGAUUAGAUACCCGGGUAGUCCCAGCUGUAAACGAUGCAGGCUAGGUGUUAGGGCGGCUACGUGCCGCUCUAGUGCCGCAGGGAAGCUGUUAAGCCUGCCGCCUGGGGAGUACGGCCGCAAGGCUGAACUUAAAGGCCA